rnacentral:rRNA from 1 species
CGUGUAGGCGGUCAGGUAAGUGGAAUGUGAAAUGCCCCGGCUCACCCGGGGACCGGCAUCCCAAACUGCCUGGCUUGAGUAUGGGAGAGGAUGGAGGAAUUCCCAAUAUAGCGGUGAAAUGCGUAGAUAUCAGGAGGAACACCGGUGGCGAAGGCGUCCAUCUGGCCCAAUACUGACGCUGAGGCGCGAAAGCUAGGGGAGCAAACG